GGGGGUGCAGCUCAGUGGUAGAGCACUUGCCUAGCAUGCUUGAGCUGUGGGUUCAAUCCCCAGCACCAUCA
rnacentral:tRNA from 1 species